GACUUGGCAAUGCAAGAAGCCUGUUUCCUCCUGCAAUGCCUCGCUUGGCACAAAUAGAGAGAGAGAAAGUGGAGGGCUUUGAACUGAUUAUGCUUGGUAAUUUUGAUUGAACUGUUUUCCAACAAGGCAAACAGAACAUCCCCGUCCUUUCAUUGUGUAUAAACCUCCUCUGGCUUGUCUCCUCCUGAAGACCCGAGCACCUGAGCCAGUUUACGAUGAGUGAUGAGCCCUCAUCUCCAUCGCCCCUGGACAGUCUUCUUUCAGUAAGAGGAGACUGGCUCUGAAAGGACUAUUAUCUCAGUGCUGCCUGCUGUACAGUCACAGUUGCCCACUGUGUGUGGGCUCGCUCCUGUCUGUCUGCAUCUGCUGCCGUGUCUAUCUGUUCCGGCCUGCUCGGGGGAUCGCCUGUCAAACUGACUGGCUGUAGACAGGCCUGGCUCAGCUGGUGCAUCUGGCACUGCUGCAGUAAACACUGACUGCUGGGUUGUUUCCCCCCGCUCGGUUACAAACACAAUAAAAGGUUUGGUGCAAUAUGAUAUCAUCCUAGAGCAACGACAUAUCAGUUUAAUGUUGCAUUCAAAAGAGAAGACAAUAUGUAAUGAUGUGGGCCAAACAGAAUAACCAUUUGAAUCUUUUU